rnacentral:rRNA from 1 species
UACGUAGGGGGCGAGCGUUGUCCGGAUUUAUUGGGCGUAAAGAGCGUGUAGGCGGCCAGGUAGGUCUGCUGUGAAAACUCGAGGCUCAACCUCGAGACGUCGGCGGAAACCAUCUGGCUAGAGUCCGGAAGAGGAGAGUGGAAUUCCUGGUGUAGCGGUGAAAUGCGCAGAUAUCAGGAAGAACACCCGUGGCGAAGGCGGCUCUCUGGCCCGAUACUGACGCUGAGGUGCGAAAGCGUGGGGAGCAAACAGG